GUUUGAUCCUGGCUCAGAACGAACGCUGGCGGCGUGCCUCAUACAUGCAAGUCGAACGCGAAAGAGGGGGUAACUCCUCGAGUAGAGUGGCGAACGGGUGAGUAACGCGUGAAGAACCUGCCUUCAACAGGGGGAUAACACUCCCAACGGGGUGCUAAUACCGCAUGAGACCACGGGAUCGCAUGGUCCUGAGGUCAAAGGUGGCCUCUAUUUAUAAGCUACCGGUUGAAGAUGGCUUCGCGUCCCAUUAGCUAGUUGGCGGUGUAAAAGACCACCAAGGCGACGAUGGGUAGCUGGUCUGAGAGGAUGGUCAGCCACACUGGGACUGAGAUACGGCCCAGACUCCUACGGGAGGCAGCAGUCGAGAGGCUUUGGCAAUGGGGGAAACCCUGACCAAGCGACGCCGCGUGGAGGAUGAAGGCCCUUGGGUUGUAAACUCCUUUUGCUAGGGAAGAAAUGCGAUCAGGUGAACAAUCUGGUCGUUUGACGGUACCUGGCGAAUAAGCUCCGGCUAACUCCGUGCCAGCAGCCGCGGUAACACGGGGGGAGCAAGCGUUGUUCGGAAUCACUGGGCGUAAAGGGCGUGUAGGCGGUCAAGUAAGUGGAAUGUGAAAUCCCUCGGCUCACCCGAGGACCUGCAUCCCAAACUGCUUGGCUUGAGUAUGGGAGAGGAUGAGGGAAUUCCUGGUGUAGCGGUGAAAUGCGUAGAUAUCAGGAGGAACACCGGUGGCGAAGGCGCUCAUCUGGCCCAAUACUGACGCUGAGGCGCGAAAGCUAGGGGAGCAAACGGGAUUAGAUACCCCGGUAGUCCUAGCCGUAAACGGUGAUCACUAGGUGUUGGAGGCAUCGACCUCUCCAGUGCCGCAGCUAACGCAUUAAG
rnacentral:rRNA from 1 species